CACGUAGGGUGCGAGCGUUGUCCGGAAUUAUUGGGCGUAAAGAGCUCGUAGGCGGUGUGUCGCGUCGGCCGUGAAAACCUGCAGCUUAACUGUGGGCUUGCGGUCGAUACGGGCAUCACUGGAGUUCGGCAGGGGAGACUGGAAUUCCUGGUGUGGCGGUGAAAUGCGCAGAUAUCGGGAAGAACACCCGUGGCUAAGGCGGUUUGCUGGGCUGACACUGACGCUGAGGCGCGAAAGCUAGGGGAGCGAACGGG
rnacentral:rRNA from 1 species